GAUGAACGCUGGCGGCGUGCCUAAUACAUGCAAGUCGAGCGAACGGACGAGAAGCUUGCUUCUCUGAUGUUAGCGGCGGACGGGUGAUUAACACGUGGAUAACCUACCUAUAAGACUGGGAUAACUUCGGGAAACCGGAGCUAAUACCGGAUAAUAUUUUGAACCGCAUGGUUCAAAAGUGAAAGACGGUCUUGCUGUCACUUAUAGAUGGAUCCGCGCUGCAUUAGCUAGUUGGUAAGGUAACGGCUUACCAAGGCAACGAUGCAUAGCCGACCUGAGAGGGUGAUCGGCCACACUGGAACUGAGACACGGUCCAGACUCCUACGGGAGGCAGCAGUAGGGAAUCUUCCGCAAUGGGCGAAAGCCUGACGGAGCAACGCCGCGUGAGUGAUGAAGGUCUUCGGAUCGUAAAACUCUGUUAUUAGGGAAGAACAUAUGUGUAAGUAACUGUGCACAUCUUGACGGUACCUAAUCAGAAAGCCACGGCUAACUACGUG
rnacentral:rRNA from 1 species